UCAUUGGUGUUGUAUCUCCCUAAUAAACACUCUUCUUUGAUAAACCUAACAAGUGGUAUCAAAGUCGAUGGUUGGUCUUUGGUGACUGGCUCAAACGAAUAUAAUAUGGUUCUUGUAUCAAAAGUCUUCUUGGUAAGGGUUCCAAGUAAGCGUGUCCUGUUAAGAUGAAUGGUAGUGCAAAGGGGUACUCGUGGUUGGGAAUGCUUCCGUUGGAGGGGGAGUGUACUAAUGUAGAAGGGACUCAACCUUGAUGGAGAGAUUGUUAGGAAUCCAAGUGUGAGUCUAAGUCCCAAAAUAGAUAGAAAUGAGAAAGUGGAGCACCAUAUAAAGGUGAAGACCCAUUAACCUAUUGCCUCAAGGUUUUAGGUAGAGAGUAGUGUUAAUCCCUUAUGUGGUUGGACUUAGAUCUCAUCGGUGUUGUAUCUCUUCACCAAACCCCCUCCUUAGAUAAACCUAACAAUUGAGACUUUUAUCAUGCAUUUAUUGUAGCAUUAAUUGCUUUAACCAAUUGAACUUGAAUUGACUUUAGCAUCGAAACUAUUUUAGCGGGU
rnacentral:lncRNA from 1 species